GAGCCAUAUUUUCGCCAUCAUCACAAUAUCCUAUCAGAGCAGUCAAGAAUUUAUGAUGAACUACAGCAAGAAGUUUGGCCUGAAAAUCAGAAAGCAACAAUUCAUUCAAUAUCCUUGAGCUGAGGGAGAGAGCAUUUUGACAGCUACCUCAGUAUCAUCUAUCCAGCCAUGGUACACUGUAGCAAAUCCUCCUUUCCCAACAACCCUUUCAAAAUUUCUGGUCAUGCUCAAGACUUCGGCAUAGAAAGAAAUCACUGUUAUUACUAGUAUCAUGAAAGCUCCACCAAGUGAUGCCACCAGUGGAACUACAACCUUAUUCCCAUUCUUGUUGUUGCAUGAUGAACCUGAUUUGAUAUGCCAGGGGCUAUGUUUCCUAUUAAACCACUGAAAGAUAAGUUCCUAAAAGCAUGAAUGUAAGGUUCAUCAAUAUUUAUUGAAGAUAAAACUGUGAAGUUGCAGUUAAAACUAAAGGAUCAGUAUAUGUGUAUUUCAAGCCAAGCCAAACUUACAAGUAUAUGAUCCUUGGUGAAUCAGAUUCAGCAUAGCUGCAGUUAAGACCAUCCCACAAGUAAGCCAGUGGGGUACAAGGAUCUCCUUGCCAGUUUCUCUUGAUCCCAUAGAUUGACUUGACAUUUAUGAUACCAUCAACUAUUAUCAUAAAUAUAAGUAGGUCAGGCAGAAAAUGUAAAACUAUGAGUAAUAAUAAGACUAGUGCAUGCUAAUAAUGAUGUGCAGGGUCUGGAUCAAUUAUAAUAAGUUGAUUUUAGAAAUAAAAAUCAGCAUAUUUAAAAACAUACCAUCUGUUUGAUAUGUUUCUGAUAGUGAGAAGUUUUUUGUCAUGUAUAUCUCGAUGGCGUUGAGAAGAGGUGGAAGAGUCGAUCCACUAGUUUUAUUAAUCCAAAGUUCCAACGGAUUUUCAAUUAUUGCUAAAUGAUACGCAUUCUGCAGUUCAGCAAAGAACAUGUACACAUAACAUGUGGAUGCAUUAUUUUUGGGAAGGAAGUGGAAUUCUAUAUUGUCAUUGACAUUUGCUGGAAUUGCUGCAGUUCCCAUGACAAUGGAAGGCGGCAAUGGUAAAAAAUCAAAUGACGUAGUAGCAUCAUGGUCUAUGUGUUGAAUAAACAAACAUGAGCAUAAUUGGAUGAAGCAGCAUAAAUGAUUUCCUUGGUGACUACACUGGAUGCAUCCUGAAACACCACUGAUCCCCACCAACUGUCUCCAAGAUAGAUGUCAAACUCGGGAAGAGAGUCUUUUCCAUCGUAAUUUCCAUAUGCAAACCUUGCCCUCACUAAAUAUUUCUUGCUACUUACUUGAGGAACAACAAGGGUAUAGCAGUUCCUGGUUCCAUCCGGGAAGCUUCUAACAUUCCAGAACUGCCUGUCAAGGGAAGCCUUGUAUUUAGAUGAUAUACUGUGGCUUACACCACUGUUUGUGAAGUUGACAUCCGAAGAGUAAUAGAUGGAAGUGGUUUCAUCUGUGUAGUUUGGUUCAUCCUCAAGUCCGCAGUCAAUACUAAUGAAGCCUGUAAAAGGUGGAAGAGCUUAAGUUCAAAGAACAAUAAAUAGUGUGGUAGGAUUCAGGAUAAUGAAAUGACACUACCGAACCUGAUUGAUUCUGUGCUCGAACAAUGAUAGGAAGAGUUAAAGAGAGAUGAAACAUCAGAAAUAGAAAGUGUCCUUCCAUUUCUGAACUGUGUAAAUAGUAAAUUGAAAAUUCGUUAUAGACUUAAAGUUGGAGCCUCUUGUUUUGUUGUUGGGCUAACUAGUAGUUACCUCCACGAGAUUGGAGAUUGAAGAUUGGAGAUAGGAGAUAACAAGCCAAUUCCAAGAAUGAUUAUGCUUGAUCAUUCAAUGAUGAUAUUCAUUUUAAUCUUUGUAAGGGUUAUGGUAUGUUGAAAUCAAGUUUGGCUGCUUACCGAAUUCUUUUUCA